UUUUAAUAUGGCAGAAUUUAGUGCAUUGGAUUUAAACCCCAAUAAUAAAGAUUUAUUUUCUUUUAUUAAAA
rnacentral:tRNA from 1 species